rnacentral:rRNA from 1 species
UGGGGAAUAUUGGUCAAUGGAGGAAACUCUGAACCAGCAACGCCGCGUGAAUGAUGAAGGUCUUCGGAUUGUAAAGUUCUUUUCUAAGGGAAGAAGAAAGUGACGGUACCUUAGGAAUAAGCCUCGGCUAACUACGUGCCAGCAGCCGCGGUAAUACGUAGGAGGCGAGCGUUAUCCGGAAUGACUGGGCGUAAAGGGUGCGUAGGUGGUUUGGCAAGUUGGUAGCGUAACUCCGGGGCUCAACCUCGGAACUACUACCAAAACUGUUGAACUUGAGUGCAGGAGGGGCAAUUGGAAUUCCUAGUGUAGCGUUGGAAUGCGUAGAUAUUAGGAAGAACACCAGUGGCGAAGGCGAAUUGCUGGACUGUAACUGACACUGAGGCACGAAAGCGUGGGGAGCAAACAGGAUUAGAUACCCUGGUA